AUGAACGCUGGCGGCGUGCCUAAUACAUGCAAGUCGAGCGAACAGACGAGGAGCUUGCUCCUCUGACGUUAGCGGCGGACGGGUGAGUAACACGUGGAUAACCUACCUAUAAGACUGGGAUAACUUCGGGAAACCGGAGCUAAUACCGUAUAACAUGUUGAACCGCAUGGUUCAACAGUGAAAGACGGUCUUGCUGUCACUUAUAGAUGGAUCCGCGCCGCAUUAGCUAGUUGGUAAGGUAACGGCUUACCAAGGCAACGAUGCGUAGCCGACCUGAGAGGGUGAUCGGCCACAGGAACUGAGACACGGUCCAGACUCCUACGGGAGGCAGCAGUAGGGAAUCUUCCGCAAUGGCGAAAGCCUGACGGAGCAACGCCGCGUGAGUGAAGAAGGUCUUCGGAUCGUAAAACUCUGUUAUUAGGGAAGAACAAAUGUGUAAGUAACUAUGCACGUCUUGACGGUACCUAAUCAGAAAGCCACGGCUAACUACGUG
rnacentral:rRNA from 1 species